AGUGAACGCUGGCGGUAGGCCUAACACAUGCAAGUCGAACGGCAGCACAGUAAGAGCUUGCUCUUACGGGUGGCGAGUGGCGGACGGGUGAGGAAUACAUCGGAAUCUACUUUUUCGUGGGGGAUAACGUAGGGAAACUUACGCUAAUACCGCAUACGACCUACGGGUGAAAGUAGGGGAUCUUCGGACCUUGCGCGAUUGAAUGAGCCGAUGUCGGAUUAGCUAGUUGGCGAGGUAAAGGCCCACCAAGGCGACGAUCCGUAGCUGGUCUGAGAGGAUGAUCAGCCACACUGGAACUGAGACACGGUCCAGACUCCUACGGGAGGCAGCAGUGGGGAAUAUUGGACAAUGGGCGCAAGCCUGAUCCAGCCAUACCGCGUGGGUGAAGAAGGCCUUCGGGUUGUAAAGCCCUUUUGUUGGGAAAGAAAAGCAGCAGGUUAAUACCCCGCUGUUCUGACGGUACCCAAAGAAUAAGCACCGGCUAACUUCGUG
rnacentral:rRNA from 1 species